GACGAACGCUGGCGGCGUGCUUAACACAUGCAAGUCGAGCGGUAAGGCCCUUUCGGGGGUACGACGAGCGGCGAACGGGUGAGUAACACGUGGGUGACCUGCCCUCAGCUCUGGGAUAAGCCUGGGAAACCGGGUCUAAUACUGGAUAUGACUCCAUGACGCAUGUUGGUGGGGUGGAAAGCCUUGUGCGGCUGAGGAUGGGCCCGCGGCCUAUCAGCUUGUUGGUGGGGUGANGGCCUACCAAGGCGACGACGGGUAGCCGGCCUGAGAGGGCGACCGGCCACACUGGGACUGAGACACGGCCCAGACUCCUACGGGAGGCAGCAGUGGGGAAUCUUGCGCAAUGGGCGAAAGCCUGACGCAGCGACGCCGCGUGAGGGAUGACGGCC
rnacentral:rRNA from 1 species